UAUUAUUAUUUAGGCCCUUAUGAAUACCCGCCAUUUUGAGCUCGGACGUCCACGUCGGUCUAAUCCAAUUGCCUACGUUACGCGGUUCUUUCUGCGUGAAUUAUGUCACUCUUUCUCUUUUUUGGGGUGUUCAUUAGAGCAGCACCAAUGGUGGUCUCUCUUAUGAGUCCUUUAUCAUAAAAAUAAAGAAAAAUAAUUAAAAAGAGAGGGACAGAAGAGAGAGGAGCUCCAAAAACCCUUAUUUAAGGGACAGUCUCAACCCCAAAUAUACACGUGUAGUUCUUUUAGUAGUCAAACUCUAUUAAAAAACUAAAAUAUAAUAACAACAUUAAAAUAUUAUUAUUAUUUUGGUUUUUAGGGACUCAUAAGAGAGACCACCAUUGCUGCUCUUAGUACACUAGACAAACAAAUAUACUCUAUU
rnacentral:sRNA from 1 species